GGCUGGAUCGUCAAGUGGUAUGAUGCUUCGUUCGGGAAAUUAUGGCUCCCGGUCGUAAGCAAUUAUGACUAUUAUGGAAGAGGUCCCGGGUUCGAACCCCGGUUCGGCCC